rnacentral:rRNA from 1 species
UACGUAGGUGGCAAGCGUUGUCCGGAUUUACUGGGCGUAAGGGGCGUGCAGGCGGUCUGUUAAGUUCAGGGUGAAAGCUCCCGGCUCAACUGGGAGAGGUCCUUGGAUACUGGCAGACUUGAGGGAGGUAGAGGAGAGUGGAAUUCCCGGUGUAGCGGUGAAAUGCGCAGAUAUCGGGAAGAACACCCGUGGCGAAGGCGGUUCUCUGGGACGGUACUGACGCUGAGACGCGAAAGCGUGGGGAGCGAACAGG